rnacentral:rRNA from 1 species
UACGAAGGGGGCUAGCGUUGCUCGGAAUCACUGGGCGUAAAGCGCACGUAGGCGGACUCUUAAGUCGGUGGUGAAAUCCUGGAGCUCAACUCCAGAACUGCCUUCGAUACUGAGAGUCUCGAGUCCGGAAGAGGUUGGUGGAACUGCGAGUGUAGAGGUGAAAUUCGUAGAUAUUCGCAAGAACACCAGUGGCGAAGGCGGCCAACUGGUCCGGUACUGACGCUGAGGUGCGAAAGCGUGGGGAGCAAACAGG